UGAAACAUCUUCGGGUUGUGAGGUUAAGCGACUAAGCGUACACGGUGGAUGCCCUGGCAGUCAGAGGCGAUGAAGGACGUGCUAAUCUGCGAAAAGCGUCGGUAAGGUGAUAUGAACCGUUAUAACCGGCGAUGUCCGAAUGGGGAAACCCAGUGCAAUUCGUUGCACUAUCGUUAACUGAAUACAUAGGUUAACGAGGCGAACCGGGGGAACUGAAACAUCUAAGUACCCCGAGGAAAAGAAAUCAACCGAGAUUCCCCCAGUAGCGGCGAGCGAACGGGGAGCAGCCCAGAGUCUGAAUCAGCUUGUGUGUUAGUGGAACGGUCUGGAAAGUCCGACGGUACAGGGUGAUAGUCCCGUACACCAAAAUGCACAGGCUGUGAACUCGAAGAGUAGGGCGGGACACGUGGUAUCCUGUCUGAAUAUGGGGGGACCAUCCUCCAAGGCUAAAUACUCCUGACUGACCGAUAGUGAACCAGUACCGUGAGGGAAAGGCGAAAAGAACCCCGGCGAGGGGAGUGAAAAAGAACCUGAAACCGUGUACGUACAAGCAGUGGGAGCACCUUCGGGUGUGACUGCGUACCUUUUGUAUAAUGGGUCAGCGACUUAUAUUCUGUAGCAAGGUUAACCGUAUAGGGGAGCCGCAGGGAAACCGAGUCUUAACUGGGCGUUAAGUUGCAGGGUAUAGACCCGAAACCCGGUGAUCUAGCCAUGGGCAGGUUGAAGGUUGGGUAACACUAACUGGAGGACCGAACCGACUAAUGUUGAAAAAUUAGCGGAUGACUUGUGGCUGGGGGUGAAAGGCCAAUCAAACCGGGAGAUAGCUGGUUCUCCCCGAAAGCUAUUUAGGUAGCGCCUCGUGAACUCAUCUUCGGGGGUAGAGCACUGUUUCGGCUAGGGGGUCAUCCCGACUUACCAACCCGAUGCAAACUACGAAUACCGAAGAAUGUUAUCACGGGAGACACACGGCGGGUGCUAACGUCCGUCGUGAAGAGGGAAACAACCCAGACCGCCAGCUAAGGUCCCAAAGUCAUGGUUAAGUGGGAAACGAUGUGGGAAGGCACAGACAGCCAGGAUGUUGGCUUAGAAGCAGCCAUCAUUUAAAGAAAGCGUAAUAGCUCACUGGUCGAGUCGGCCUGCGCGGAAGAUGUAACGGGGCUAAACCAUGCACCGAAGCUGCGGCAGCGACACUAUGUGUUGUUGGGUAGGGGAGCGUUCUGUAAGCCUGCGAAGGUGUGCUGUGAGGCAUGCUGGAGGUAUCAGAAGUGCGAAUGCUGACAUAAGUAACGAUAAAGCGGGUGAAAAGCCCGCUCGCCGGAAGACCAAGGGUUCCUGUCCAACGUUAAUCGGGGCAGGGUGAGUCGACCCCUAAGGCGAGGCCGAAAGGCGUAGUCGAUGGGAAACAGGUUAAUAUUCCUGUACUUGGUGUUACUGCGAAGGGGGGACGGAGAAGGCUAUGUUAGCCGGGCGACGGUUGUCCCGGUUUAAGCAUGUAGGCUGAUUGUCCAGGCAAAUCCGGAUAAUCAAGGCUGAGGUGUGAUGACGAGGCACUACGGUGCUGAAGUAACAAAUGCCCUGCUUCCAGGAAAAGCCUCUAAGCAUCAGGUAACAUCAAAUCGUACCCCAAACCGACACAGGUGGUCAGGUAGAGAAUACCAAGGCGCUUGAGAGAACUCGGGUGAAGGAACUAGGCAAAAUGGUGCCGUAACUUCGGGAGAAGGCACGCUGGUGUGUAGGUGAAGUCCCUGCGGAUGGAGCUGAGACCAGUCGAAGAUACCAGCUGGCUGCAACUGUUUAUUAAAAACACAGCACUGUGCAAACACGAAAGUGGACGUAUACGGUGUGACGCCUGCCCGGUGCCGGAAGGUUAAUUGAUGGGGUUAUCCGUAAGGAGAAGCUCUUGAUCGAAGCCCCGGUAAACGGCGGCCGUAACUAUAACGGUCCUAAGGUAGCGAAAUUCCUUGUCGGGUAAGUUCCGACCUGCACGAAUGGCGUAAUGAUGGCCAGGCUGUCUCCACCCGAGACUCAGUGAAAUUGAACUCGCUGUGAAGAUGCAGUGUACCCGCGGCAAGACGGAAAGACCCCGUGAACCUUUACUAUAGCUUGACACUGAACAUUGAGCCUUGAUGUGUAGGAUAGGUGGGAGGCUUUGAAGCGUGGACGCCAGUCUGCGUGGAGCCAACCUUGAAAUACCACCCUUUAAUGUUUGAUGUUCUAACGUUGGCCCCUGACCGGGGUUGCGGACAGUGUCUGGUGGGUAGUUUGACUGGGGCGGUCUCCUCCCAAAGCGUAACGGAGGAGCACGAAGGUUAGCUAAUCCUGGUCGGACAUCAGGAGGUUAGUGCAAUGGCAUAAGCUAGCUUGACUGCGAGCGUGACGGCGCGAGCAGGUGCGAAAGCAGGUCAUAGUGAUCCGGUGGUUCUGAAUGGAAGGGCCAUCGCUCAACGGAUAAAAGGUACUCCGGGGAUAACAGGCUGAUACCGCCCAAGAGUUCAUAUCGACGGCGGUGUUUGGCACCUCGAUGUCGGCUCAUCACAUCCUGGGGCUGAAGUAGGUCCCAAGGGUAUGGCUGUUCGCCAUUUAAAGUGGUACGCGAGCUGGGUUUAGAACGUCGUGAGACAGUUCGGUCCCUAUCUGCCGUGGGCGCUGGAGAAUUGAGGGGGGGCUGCUCCUAGUACGAGAGGACCGGAGUGGACGCAUCACUGGUGUUCGGGUUGUCAUGCCAAUGGCACUGCCCGGUAGCUAAAUGCGGAAGAGAUAAGUGCUGAAAGCAUCUAAGCACGAAACUUGCCCCGAGAUGAGUUCUCCCUGAGACUUUAAGUCUCCUGAAGGAACGUUAAAGACGAUGACGUUGAUAGGCCGGGUGUGUAAGCGCAGCGAUGCGUUGAGCUAACCGGUACUAAUGAACCGUGAGGCUUAACCUU
rnacentral:rRNA from 1 species